AACCGAAUGGCCCACACCGGAGUCAUGUAAAUAAGUUCCCUCUUCACACAUGUUUACUUUAAACUCCCCAAUCCACAACCCCAGCAGGAAAGCCUAAGGGAUAACGCCCACGGAGCUUAGGCCUGGCCCCACAGGCCCUCCUCUCCCCAACUCUCCACACACUGGGAGAGCUCUCUGCCACCCCGGACAUCCUAUCAGCGCCCCCAGAAACACUCCUGACCUCUCUGGAACCACUUGCAUCAAAGAUUAUGAGCAACAUGGAUCUGUAAUGUUCUUUCUUAAACAGUUAUUCACUCAGGGUGAUCAGAUGUCUAUUCAAAACAGCCAACAAUGAGCUAAAGGAGUGCUGUUCCAGCCAGAAUCCUACCGCUACCACGAGUGAUGAAACCACAAGAAAUCCUCCACAAAGUCCACUUCUGAACUUGCUCCCUCCUCUUGGGAUAUUCUUAGACUGCCCGGACUUCACCUCAGCUCUGCCAUCGCCCAGCCUUCCACUCAUUCCAUUCGGACCCCCAAAUGCUGACUGGCCAGGGGAUCCCAUGCUACCCUGCAGACUGAUGUGUGCACAAGGAAACCAGGUCCCAGCCUCUGAGGCUGUCAGUGUUUUGUUAGAAAAGAAGGCACAGCUGAGCCAACUAACUAGACAAAUGACUAAAUGUCUACUUUCUGAGAACUGUAAAAACAAU